rnacentral:rRNA from 1 species
AGCAUUAUACAGCGAAACUGCGAAUGGGCUCAUUAUAUAAGUUAUCGUUUAUUUGAUAGUGCCUUACUACUUGGAUAACCGUGGUAAUUCUAGAGCUAAUACAUGCUGAAAGCCCCGACUCACGGAGGGGCGUAUUUAUUAGAUUAAAAACCAAUGCCCUUCGGGGCUCCUUGGUGAUUCAUGAUAACUUCUCGAAUCGCACGGCCUUGCGCCGGCGAUGGUUCAUUCAAAUUUCUUCCCUAUCAACUUUCGAUGUUUGGGUAGUGGCCAAACAUGGUGGCAACGGGUAACGGAGGGUUAGGGCUCGACCCCGGAGAAGGAGCCUGAGAAACGGCUCCUACAUCCAAGGAAGGCAGCAGGCGCGCAAAUUACCCAAUCCCGACUCGGGGAGGUAGUGACAAUAAAUACUGAUGCAGGGCUCUUUAGGGUCUUGCAAUUGGAAUGAGUACAAUUUAAAUCCCUUAACGAGGAACAAUUGGAGGGCAAGUCUGGUGCCAGCAGCCGCGGUAACUCCAGCUCCAAUAGCGUAUAUUAAAGUUGUUGUGGUUAAAAAGCUCGUAGUUGAACCUUGGGCCUGGCCGUCCGGUCCGCCUCACCGCGUGCACUGGCACGGCCGGGCCUUCCCACCGCGGAAUCGCAUGCCCUUUACUGGGCGUGUCGGGGAAGCGGUACUUUUACUGUGAAAAAAUUAGAGUGCUCUAAGCAGGCCUAUGCUCGAAUACAUUAGCAUGGAAUAAUAGAAUAGGACAGGCGUUCUAUUUUGUUGGUUUCUAGGACGUCUGUAAUGAUUAACAGAAACAAUCGGGGGCGUCAGUAUUGCAUCGUCAGAGGUGAAAUUCUUAGAUCGACGCAAGACUAACUACUGCGAAAGCAUUCGCCAAGGGUGUUUUCAUUAAUCAGGAACGAAAGUUAGGGGAUCGAAGACGAUCAGAUACCGUCGUAGUCUUAACCAUAAACUAUGCCGACUAGGGAUCGGGCGGUGUUAAUUUUUGACCCGCUUCGGCACCUUACGAGAAAUCUUAAGUGCUUGGGCUCCAGG